GGAGUUUGGACCGUGUCUCAGUUCCAAUGUGGGGGACCUUCCUCUCAGAACCCCUACUGAUCGUCGGCUAGGUGGGCCGUUACCCCGCCUACUACCUAAUCAGACGCAUCCUCAUCCGCCACCGAUAAAUCUUUAAUGUCCACGUCAUGCGGCAUGGACAUACCAUCGGGUAUUAAUCUUUCUUUCGAAAGCCUAUCCCCAAGUGACGGGUAGAUUGGAUACGUGUUACGCACCCGUGCGCCGGUCGCCAUCGGCCGAAGCAAGCUUCGGCCAUGCUGCCCCUCGACUUGCAUGUGUUAAGCCUGUAGCUAGCGUUCAUC
rnacentral:rRNA from 1 species